ensembl:lncRNA novel transcript
GACUCUUAAUUCCUUCUGGAAUACUGAGAGUGCCGGGAAAUGACAGCUUAAUGUUCAGGGUACGUCUUAGUUUGUCUUGGAUCUUGUGACAGGGACAGCUGCAUUAGUCUUGGAGUGAAAGUGUAUCUGAGUAUGUUGGGCCACAUUUGCAGUAGUUUGUUCUGAACUCCAGAGCUAUUGACCAAGCCCGUCCUGCCUUCUGAGGUAUGGAAGACACUGAGGCCUCCUGACCCACGGCACAGCAUUCUCUGCUUCCAGCGCGUCUGCCUUGGGCCAUCACCCCAGAGAGUUUGAUCAAGGUCUGUCUUACCACACCCCCUCCCAAAUUCUUGCAGCUCCCAAAGCUGCUGGAGGCAGCACCUGAGCCUGUCUCUCCGCUGAGCUUCUUCACCCCAAGGACUGCCUGCUGGCUGCCCACUUCUCAUCAGGCAAGGCCACAGUGCCAUCUGCUGGCUAUUGGGAGCCAUGCUGGUCAGGUUGGGAGGGCACAGGAGCAUGCUAGGCUGACAAGGAGCACUGAGCUCUCCCCACCUCAGCUCAGGAAUAACAGAAGUGGCCUUUCCCUUAAGCCCCCACUGACCAGAGCCCCUCAUUCAGGCUUCAGUCACCAGAGCCCCCUGCUCAAGUCCUUUAGUUACCAUGGCCUCUAGGUCAGUCUCCUCAGGAAUCAGGGCCCCUUGUGCAGCCCCCAGUCCCACCCCCCACUGACCAGAGCCUCAGUGACCAGGGCCCCUAGGUCAUGCAUCCAAUGACCAGGGCCUCUUUCUAAGGCUCUCUACUGACCAGAACCCCUCAUUCUAGCUCCAUGGUGGUGAGGGCACCUCAUUUAGGCUUGGCUUCACAAUCAGGUCAUUCAAUGACCAGGACCUAUAGCUCUUGACCCCCAAAGACCAGGGCCUUUCUCAGACCCCCACGACCAGGUCCUUUCAGUGACCUAUAGUCCUCUCUUUUAGGACCCUCUGUGCCUAGGUUACUAAAGACCAUUACUCAGAGGACAUAAGGAGUGGUGUUUGUGGGGGCUCUUUGAUCCCCAAGAGCUGGACAGGUCCCAUCUGUUUCCUCUGUUUAUCGUCCCCUUCCCACUGGUCUCCAGAGAGGCCUCUGGCCACUGGGGCUUUCCAUUUUGUUUUGCCUGUGCUCCCGGGUCCCUCUUCAGACAUGGCCACAGCUGUGCCCAGGUCUCAUAACAAAGGUGGUCUCUGUUGAGUUAACUAAUCCCAUCCCGGGAACUGUGGCCCAAGAAGACUAGAUUCUAUAGCAUGGCAGCCCACCUGGGCCUCGCAUCUGCUGGCCCUCUAACACCAGACCACACACCCCUGUGCCAUCUCACCACCUCCCAUAGGCAGGCCUCCCAUCACAUCUAUCUCAGGCCGUAUUACCCAAAGGCCAAAUGCUUCCAGUCCCAGCAUCCCACCAGUCCCUGGCACCUGUCCUAGAUACCAAGUGUGACUUUUCCCAUUUUCCUUUUCUUCCAGACCCAAGCCUAAUCCAGGUCCUACCCUUCUCAGCCCCCAUCCCACUUGGGUUUAUUUACUUAUUCAAACAAACAUCAAAUGAGCAUCUACAUAUUAGGAUUCUAGAUAGGGGUGUGGGGUCAGUGUGCAGGGACGGCAGCAUAGAAGAGGGACUUUGGUUGAGACUUGAAGGAUGAAUAGGAGUUUGCCAAAGGGUCAAAGGAUAGGAAGCUAUUUGAGGAAGAAGAAACUGCAUAUACUACACAAAUAUACAGAGGACCCUGGUCAGCCAUGUGGUUGGAGCACAAAGUGAAAAGUGAGGAGAGAGGGAGAAGAGAGACUUGAACAGGGAAGCAGAGAACAACAGAUGGAAGAUCUUGUAGCUGAGCUAAGGAGUAUGAAUUUUUUUCCCCUAGGAUGGAAAAACACAGAAGUUUUUUCAAAUUUCCAAGUAGGAAGUUAUGAUUCCAAAAAAAAGAAAAAGAAAAAGAAAAGAAGGCUUUUUCUAAUUAGAAAGGUCAGGUUAGUGGCAUUGUGGAAGACGGAUUGGACAGGGGCAAAAGUAGACCCAGGGAGACUAGUCAGUCUAGCCAGUCAGCCAACAAGUGUUUUGUAAGUUCUGUAGUAGGUUAAAUAGUUGCUUCCCCCACUCCAAAAGUUAUGCCCAUGUCCCAGAACCCGUGAAUGUGACCUUAUUUGGAAAACAGAACUUUAAAGAUGUAAUCAAGUUAAGGAUCUCAGGAUCCUUGAUUAUCUGAUGGGCCUUAAAUCCAAUGGCAAAUGUCCUUAAAAGAAACAAAUGCAAGAGAAGGCCACUGAAGACAGAGGCAGAGAUUGCAGUGAUGCAGCCAUAAGCCAAGGAAUGCCCGGAAAUGUCAGAAGCAGAAAGAGCAGAUUCUCCCUUCAAGCCUUCAGAGGGAGUGUGGCCCUGCUGACAUCUUGACAUCAAACCUCUAGCCUCCAGAACAAUGAGAAUAAAUUUAUGUUGCCUUAUGCCACCAA